UUCCAUGACCAUGCUCUCAUUCCUGUGCCGACUGACUGCAUGUCAAUUCAAACUGUAGCAUAACAUGCAUCAUUCCUUUGAUCUCCUUUCUCCUGCACUUCUUAAUUUUUUCUGGUAACUAAUAAAGUUUGAGCCUAUUAUGACACUUAGCUGUAACCUUUGUCCAUCAAACAGUUUCAAAAUUGCUGAAUGAAGAGAACAAACUUGGCUGGUUCUUUCAUGUUUCCAUCUCUCCUUAACAUUCGCUUAUACCAUAACCCCACAGCCCAACAAGCCGAACCCCACUAUUUGUUGUCGACUUUAUGAUUCAUUGUCUUUGAAAAGGGCUACAUCCACUAUCAGUGCAUGCACCACCAGAUUCUUUUUGGAAAUUCUCAUUAUCAGUGUUGCCCUCUUUUUAACCUUUUGACAGAUGGUGCACCCAACUAUUCUCUUUGAUGUCCGUUGGAUACUAGCUUGGCAUCUCAACUGACUAUUGAUUACCUUGCAAUUAGUGCAAAAUGCACUGAGCACUGACUUUAAGAUUCUUUUCCCGUAUUAGGUCUUUACCUUUUCACUCCCAACUCUGCCAUCCUCAUCAUACAUGGCAAAUUCUUUAUUAAGCAACAUUCAAGACCACACAACAAUGCAAGUUUCAAUGUCAUCAUACAGAAUUUUCACUAAAAUCUCAAAGCACUGAAUACAUAAUAUUCAAGAAACAAUUCUCUAUCUCUUCUUCCUUAAUAUAAUUAUAUUAAAAAUAUCUUCAUCUAUCUUUUUAUUAUUUUAUAUAAUAGGCCCAAGAUAAUCUAUUCUUGAUAAAUAAAGCUAAAACUAACAACUAAACAUAAUUUGAUUAUUGGAACAAGAAAAACUAAUAGGUUAUUUGCUUAUUAUCAACAUUAUCUUGGCACAUAUUCCACACAUAUAACCAAGUUCUAUCCUGUCCAUUUGAUGCAAGCUUAAUGGUAUAAAUUUUUAAAUACUGCAAGCUAUCUAAAAAUCCUCAUUUCCACGUGCUUCAUUAGAAGUAUCCUCAUUACACCUUUAUUGCUUAAUGCAAGUCCACAUCAUCUCUUGGGCUAACAUACCAUAUCUGCUUACAGGAUAAGAGCCAAGACAAGUUUUGUCUCCUCACCAAGUUGUUUCAUCAAUGGCUAACAUAAGAAGAUAACCUCGCUUCUUAAUUUAUGAAAACCCAGUUUGAUAUUUGGAAAUCAUCAUUUGUUAUCUUAAUCUUCAUCUCUCCUAACAUUCCUGACCCAUAAUGUCUUGCACUAGGUAAGUUUCUUAUCAUGAUGGUCCAGGAAAAGAAAUGUAACAACACAUCAACCUGCACUACCUGUGAGUAUUUUCAUAAUAAAACUGAAAACAGAUUCCAAACAGUUUGAUACUUGGAAAUCAUCAUUUGUUUUCUUAAUCUUCAUCUCUCCUAAAAUUCCUGACCCAUAAUGUCUUGCACUAGGUAAGUUUCUUAUCAUGAUGGCCAAGGAAAAGAAAUGUAAAAACACAUCAACCUGCACUAACUGUGAGAAGUUUCAUAAUAAAACUGAAAACAGAUUCCAGGCAGUUCACAUCUCAUGUGCCAAAUUUUCGAUGGAAGAUUCUCUUAUUUUCCAGUGAGAGGAUGAGUUGAAUAAAACAAUGCCGUGCCUUUAUAUAAAGAUAAACAUAGGAGUACUAGGUGAAAACAAGACAGAGGCAGAACAAGGCAAACUAAACAAGAUCCAGAUUAUAAUAUAACAAUGCUUGCACAUCCAAAGGCAUAGGGGUUCACAAGCAGCUUUCAUCUUUACAAGGAGCAAAGUAUUUAACAAAGGAAAAAAUUAUGAUAAUAUAUUUGCAUGGAAAAAAUGAUGCUG
rnacentral:lncRNA from 1 species